CAGGAAGAAAGGCGAAGCGAAGGCGCUGGCAAACUCCAGACUCGCGGGCAGGACGCGGAGGGAAGUGGCUGCGCGGCGCCGCGUCCCCGCCCCAAGCCCGGAGCUGGGGAGUCGCGUGCCACAGCCGGUGCGCGGCGUCCCCGUGCAGUCCUGGCGACCUGUCACCGAGGACGACGUGACUCGGAGCUGCCUCCGCUUUCUCCAAGCCAUAUUCCUUUAAGAUGAUGUAAUAGUCAUUUCCCUGGAUGGUAUCUUGCCUGCACUGCUGAAACAACAGCAUCCGAACUGCACUGGGAACUGUGGAACCACCCAGCUCCGCCGCCCGCUGGAGAAGCCCGAGCCCGAGCCCCCCGCCGCCCCUGGGCGCUGCGGCGGCCGGGCUCCCAGAGGCUCCCACCUGCCUGGGAACAUGGGAGUGCGUUUGCCUUUGCCGGCAGGUGGGGUGGCUACCUGGGACCCCAGCAGGGCACAUCUGUCUUUCUUUCUGCUUCUGGGCUUUCUGAAAAGCGUCUAAGUCCCAGUACCUCUUCCAACUCUCUUCUGUUUUAAGGAUUCUUUCUAAAGGUUUGAUUCCCCACCCCCCCCUUUUUUACUGGAGAAGCUUUGGUUGGAUAUUUUUCUCUGCCCUGCUUCUUCAACCCAACCACCUCUCAUCACGCUUUAACUUUUUUGUGACUUGUUUCAACUUGAGAUUGGGAGUGAAUACAUACCUAUAUACAUACAUACAAAUAUACAUUUAUAUAAAUGUUUAUAUAUAUAUCAAAUUAUUAUUUUCUAAGAGCACAUCUCUCGGGCACUUUUCAUUGAUGCCUCUGUCCUUUACCUCUUUGGGAUUUGACAAGCUCCAGACUGUGGCUGUGGAUUCUGAUUGCUUUGCAAAUGGGUAUUUCUCCACAGGAACUGGGUCUCCAGCACUCACUAAGCCAGACCUCUGAGUAACUGGGGACUUGGCCUGCCUUGCCUGCUGAGCUUGGGGCAGAUCGGAUGGAGAUGAGUUGAUUAUAUUCUAUGAAGUAAUACUCACCACCAGCCAGGGUUUAAACUACUUUCGCAGCAUCGCUUCACCUGUGGACUCUUCUAAAUUUUGCUCUUGGGGAAAAAAACCGGGGUAAGAGAAGGUCAUUUUUAACAAGUUAGCAUCCUUCUCCCUCUUUGACAACUUGAUGCAAAGGAUAAGGCUGUGACUCCAUUGGAUUGCACCUUUGAAUCAAAAUAGGAGA
rnacentral:lncRNA from 1 species